AUGUGGAAACUGAAACCCAGCAAAGGGCCACAGACCAGCCACCCACCUCCCAGAAAAAUCCCUUUGUGAGAAAAACUCCUGGUUAGACUGACUGGAGGUGCUGCGACUCAAGAAGUUCAACGUUGACCAUCCUGCUAUGUUUGUGAAGCCAUCCCACAGAAGCCUGAUGUGCUUUCUGCUUUCAGGAAUCCGAGAAAAAGGAGCUUUGGCACUCAU